rnacentral:lncRNA from 1 species
UCUUUCCCUAUCGGGCGACUUCCCUUUUAGUAGAUCGUGAGUGGGUCUGUCGUCCUCCUCAUUAUAGUCCUCCUAAAAUCAAUAGCAUUUCGUCGAAAUAUAUCCUGUCUUUUCACCUUAGUAGUCCUAUGCAUAGUCAGUACUAUAGCCCCAAUCAUGGCUACUAAUAAAAUAAGACUAGGAACCAAAAACCAGACGAAAUAGUAGGUAUAAAGUAAAUUGCCCAAUGUUUCCAAAUUAGUCCAACUUCGUACCUUUCCGGCAUAAACUGUAUAUCUCAGAGAGGUCGUAUUUCUUUGGGUUGGUAGUAAUGGAAUGGUUUCAUUAUCUAAAAUGAAGAACAUUUCCCACCAAAGGAUCAGUCCAAUAAUACCACUCACUGGUAAAUAGCGCAAGACUUCUUCGUGAAUCUCCGCUAUUUGAAUAUGGAACAUCAUAACAACGAAUAGGAAUAAAACGGCUAUAGCUCCUAUAUAAACUACUGGGAAGAUCAUAGCGGAGAAGUCGAGACCUAACAAAAGAAGUAAACCUGAAGUAUCGCGAAAGACUAGGAUGGGAAACAAAACGGAAUGUACCGGAUUUUUAGCACGUGCAACCAUCAAACCAGAGACCAAAGCAGGGCUCGACAAAACAGAAAGUAUCAUGGUACGUCGUCCUUCCCUGAAAUGGAACUUUCAUACUGGAGCAAGAACUAGCAUGAAAGUCGAUCUAUUACGACCAGCGCGGUUGUUCGUAUUUCAUUUUCUUUUUCCCUUCUUAGAAAGCACUCACUGAGUUACUUACGGAAUCUCAAAUCUCUCUCGACGCCGAGAAUUUUUUAUGUGUCCAGGUCGAUUAGAGGUUCGGUUUGCUUCUCCCCUUUAGCGUUCUGGGCCCAUGAAAAAAUAAAGAAACCCGAAAUCAAAAAGAAAGAAGAUAAAUUUUGCCAUGUUUCCCGAGAGAGGCCGCUUUCUCUCAGGCCAUCAGUCUUCUACUUCUAGUCGACUGCUCUAUGACGGGCUUCCCUGUUUCCUGGGCUCUGCUCGCUCGUCUACGCUCCGACCCAGCAAGUAAUAAUUGAAAUUUAUUUCACCUUGCCUGCUGCAUUAAGAUUUAAAACUUGUCGUCAAAAAACAGGCAAUCAAUCAGAAUUAAGAAAAAAAAAUUGAAAUAGUGACUAGAUGGAUCCCUAUCUUUAUCUCUAUCCACGGAGAUACCUAUCUAUAUGGAUAGAAAUCUAUCUAUGAAUCGAUCUAGACUAUCCUCUAUCCGGAUGGAUAUGUCCCUAUGAGCGACUACGCCGAUCUUUAUAUGUUUUGGCCACGUCCGUUUCCGCUCCGAAGAGGAAGGUUUAAAUCUUUCAAUCUUAUGUCGUGAGGGAUAUGACCUAUGUUAGGUCCAUAAGAUACCACAGCUUUUAGUGUUCUAUGAUUCACCUCCGAAUAAUGAGUAGGUAGUUCGAUCCUUUUGAUUCUUCUCUUCAUAGUAAACUGAUGGGGGGAUGCGGAGCAAUAGAUCGAAUUACUAUAUAAAGAAGAGUUGUAAACUAUAGGACUUCUUAUUCGAGUAGGAAGAUUUCGGUUUUUCUCGUUCCUUUUAUUCGAUAAGAAUAGGGAUUUGAAAUGAUACAAAUUUCUCUUCAUUCUGUUGUGCUCAGCGAAGGAACUGCCUAAGCAUACUUUUUCGGAUCCAAACUUCUUUGUUCUUUCUAAGUCUUCUUCUUGCAUAGAAGAACGCAACUGUUGCAAAAACCGGGAUUUUAGUAGUAGGCGGCAUCCCCUCUUAGUUUUGAGUAGGUGGAACCAUUCUGUUUUGGUUCUUCUCCACAUUCUUACCGGGUGAUCCAGGAAUUUGCCUAUUAUUUUUUCAACUGAUAUUUCGAUAUAGAAAGAUCUCCUUAUUUCUUCACCGCGGAUUCUUGCGUCAUUUUCUUGAAAAGAUAUUAGAUCACCGUGGGACACUUUCAAAUGAGUAAUGCUUACCAUUCCAUUAUUCACACAAACCCUUCGAUGACUUAUCGGCUGCCUUGCUUGAGGAAUAGUUUCACAAAAAUGGAGACGAACCGGAAUAACGUCCAAUCUUGUUUCUGGAUCAUCGAAAUAUAUCCUGUCUUUUCACCUUAGUAGUCCUAUGCAUAGUUAGUACUAUAGCCCCAAUCAUGGCUACUAAUAAAAUAAGACUAGGAACCAAAAACCAGACGAGAUAGUAGGUAUAAAGUAAAUUGCCC